UACGGAGGAUGCAAGCGUUAUCCGGAAUGAUUGGGCGUAAAGAGUCCGUAGGUGGUGAUGCGUGUCUGCUGUCAAAGCUCAAGGCUUAACUUUGAAAAGGCAGUGGAAACUGCAUCACUAGAGGCAGGUAGGGGUAGAGGGAAUUCCCGGUGUAGCGGUGAAAUGCGUAGAGAUCGGGAAGAACACCAGCGGCGAAAGCGCUCUGCUAGACCUGAACUGACACUGAGGGACGAAAGCUAGGGGAGCGAAAGGG
rnacentral:rRNA from 1 species